UACAGAGGGUGCAAGCGUUGUCCGGAUUUAUUGGGCGUAAAGCGUUUCGUAGGUGGCAGGAUAAGUUGUACUUUAAAGACCAGAGCUCAACUUUGGGAAGGGGUACAAUACUGUCCAGCUUGAAAGAUUCCGGGGCUUUCGGAACUGUCGGUGUAGGGGUGAAAUCCGUUGAUAUCGAUAGGAACACCAAGGGCGAAGGCAGGAAGCUAGGAAUUCUUUGACACUGAGGAACGACAGCUAGGGUAGCGAAAGGG
rnacentral:misc_RNA from 1 species